rnacentral:ncRNA from 1 species
AAAAGGGCCCUUAUUAGGGCCACCAUUUUUUUAAUUAAUACUUUAU